rnacentral:rRNA from 1 species
GGACUACUCGGGUUUCUAAUCCUGUUUGCUCCCCACACUUUCGAGCCUCAGCGUCAGUUAGAGCCCAGCAAGCCGCCUUCGCCACUGGUGUUCCUCCGAAUCUCUACGCAUUUCACCGCUACACUCGGAAUUCCGCUUGCCUCUACUCCACUCAAGAAAAACAGUUUCAACGGCAGGCCAUGGGUUGAGCCCAUGGAUUUCACCGCUGACUUGUUUUCCCGCCUGCGCUCCCUUUACACCCAGUAAUUCCGGACAACGCUCGCCACCUACGUAUUACCGCGGCUGCUGGCAC